UACGUAGGGGGCAAGCGUUGUCCGGAUUUAUUGGGCGUAAAGAGCGUGUAGGCGGCCAUACAGGUCAGCUGUGAAAACUCGAGGCUCAACCUCGAGACGUCGGUUGAAACCGUAUGGCUAGAGUCCGGAAGAGGAGAGUGGAAUUCCCGGUGUAGCGGUGAAAUGCGCAGAUAUCGGGAAGAACACCAGUGGCGAAGGCGGCUCACUGGUCCGGUACUGACGCUGAGGUGCGAAAGCGUGGGGAGCAAACAGG
rnacentral:rRNA from 1 species